AGGUGGUGCAGAGAGGAGGUGGACAGGUAGGAGAGAGGACAGGUGGUGGAGAAGAAGAAGAGAGAGGAGAGGUGGUGGAGAGAGGAGGUGGACAGGUAGGAGAGAGGACAGGUGGCGGAGAAGAAGAGGAGAAAGGAGAGGUGGUGGAGAGAGGAGGUGGACAGGUAGGAGAGAGGACAGGUGGUGGAGAAGAAGAGGAGAGAGGAGAGGUGGUGGAGAAGAAGAGGAGAGGUGGUGGAGAGAGGAGGUGGACAAGUAGGAGAGAGGACAGGUGGUGGAGAAGAAGAGGAGAGAGGAGAGGUGGUGGAGAGAGGAGGUGGACAAGUAGGAGAGAGGACAGGUGGUGGAGAAGAAGAGGAGAGAGGACAGGUGGUGGAGAAGAAGAGGAGAGGUGGUGGAGAGAGGUGGUGGACAGGUAGGAGAGAGGACAGGUGGUGGAGAAGAAGAGGAGAGAGGAGAGGUGGUGGAGAGAGGAGGUGGACAAGUAGGAGAGAGGACAGGUGGUGGAGAAGAAGAGGAGAGAGGAGAGGUGGUGGAGAAGAAGAGGAGAGGUGGUGGAGAGAGGAGGUGGACAAGUAGGAGAGAGGACAGGUGGUGGAGAAGAAG